GUGUACAGGAUGGCCAUAAGGUCCUGCG
rnacentral:sRNA from 1 species